GUGCUCGCCCUGGCAGCACAUAUACUAAAAUUGGAACAACACAGAGAAGAUCAUCAUGGCCCCUGCACAAGGAUGACAUGCAAAUUUGUGAAGUGUUGCACAUUUUU
ensembl:snRNA U6 U6 spliceosomal RNA